rnacentral:rRNA from 1 species
GUGGAUUAGAUACCCUGGUAGUCCACGCCGUAAACGAUGAGUGCUAGGUGUCACGGGCUUUGACCCUCGUGGUGCCGAAGCUAACGCGUUAAGCACUCCGCCUGGGGAGUACGGCCGCAAGGCUAAAACUCAAAAGAAUUGACGGGGGCCCGCACAAGCGGUGGAGCAUGUUGUUUAAUUCGACGCAACGCGAAGAACCUUACCUGGGCUAGAAAGUACAGGAACCUGGUUGAAAAAUCGGGGUGCCCUUCGGGGAAUCUGUGGUUAGGUGCUGCAUGGCCGUCGCCAACU